rnacentral:rRNA from 1 species
AGGCAGCAGUUGGGAAUAUUGGACAAUGGGCGAAAGCCUGAUCCAGCAAUGCCGCGUGAGUGAUGAAGGCCUUAGGGUUGUAAAGCUCUUUUACCCGGGAUGAUAAUGACAGUACCGGGAGAAUAAGCUCCGGCUAACUCCGUGCCAGCAGCCGCGGUAAUACGGAGGGAGCUAGCGUUAUUCGGAAUUACUGGGCGUAAAGCGCACGUAGGCGGCUUUGUAAGUUAGAGGUGAAAGCCUGGAGCUCAACUCCAGAACUGCCUUUAAGACUGCAUCGCUUGAAUCCAGGAGAGGUGAGUGGAAUUCCGAGUGUAGAGGUGAAAUUCGUAGAUAUUCGGAAGAACACCAGUGGCGAAGGCGGCUCACUGGACUGGUAUUGACGCUGAGGUGCGAAAGCGUGGGGAGCAAACAGGAUUAGAUACCCGAGUAGUCC